rnacentral:tRNA from 1 species
CGGAGUUUAGCGCAGUCUGGUAGCGCAUUCGGUUUGGGACCGAAGGGUCGCAGGUUCGAAUCCUGCAACUCCGACCA